rnacentral:lncRNA from 1 species
CAAAGCUAGUGGACCAACCAAAGAUAAGCUUCAUCCUCGCGGUUAGCAGUUCAUCAUAUCAGACACCAAAAUCUUCAGAACCACCAGCAGGAAGCAAAGGACUGCAUAGUUCUCUUCAGUUCAACAAGAUGAGGUCCGGGAGGCGCGCUUGAGCUCCUUUGAUUCCUGAUUCUUCCCAAUCCUAUGAAAGGGACUGUAUAAAUCUCAAUAUCUCUCGCCAAUUUCACCUAUUCCAGUUUUGUCCUUUCUAGAGAAAGACAUUUGGAAAAAAAACUGCAAAAUGAGUCUGGAGGCACGUUUGUGCUCUUUCGGAACCCAGCUCCUGACUCGUACC